rnacentral:rRNA from 1 species
UGACCUCGAUCAGGUAGGGAUACCCGCUGAACUUAGCAUAUCAAUAAGCGGAGGA